UGCGGAGCGCGUGGCGCAGCACGAUCUUGGGAAACGACACGCCCUUGAGCCGGGCGGUGCGGAUAUAUUGCGCGGUCAUCACCUCGGUCAUGCUCGCCCGCGUCAUCCGGGCGAUAUACCCCAUGCCGUAAAGCGCGAUGGUCAGCACCGGCAGGGUGAAAUUCUCGAUCGUGGCGUUC
rnacentral:ncRNA from 1 species